UACGUAGGGUGCAAGCGUUGUCCGGAAUUAUUGGGCGUAAAGAGCUUGUAGGCGGUUUGUCGCGUCUGCUGUGAAAUUUCGGGGCUCAACCCCGAACUUGCAGUGGGUACGGGCAGACUAGAGUGUGGUAGGGGAGACUGGAAUUCCUGGUGUAGCGGUGAAAUGCGCAGAUAUCAGGAGGAACACCGAUGGCGAAGGCAGCUCGCUGGGACGUUACUGACGCUGAGACGCGAAAGCGUGGGGAGCAACAGG
rnacentral:rRNA from 1 species